CAGAUCCCCUACUCCUUAUCUCAUAGUCCCAGGCAUAGUUAAUCACACCAUCAUUCAAAGCAUUAUGGAGCAGACCAGACCAAGGGCUGAUCAGAGGGAAAAAACCUACUGUAAUGGCUAAAAGCUUAUUGGAAACAAAGAAAACCCACAUCUAUCAGAUUUCCUCUCAGAGGGACAUGUCAAAUAAACCUUUUUCAGUCGAAGGUGGAAGAAGCAAGUUUGAAGCCAGAGGACAGGAGAGGAGAGGCUGAGGACGUUUGCGAGGUGCUAUGUCAAAUAAAUCUGUUUGAUAAGG